rnacentral:rRNA from 1 species
UACGUAGGGGGCGAGCGUUGUCCGGAUUUAUUGGGCGUAAAGAGCGUGUAGGCGGCCAGGUAGGUCUGCUGUGAAAACUCGAGGCUCAACCUCGAGACGUCGGCGGAAACCAUCUGGCUAGAGUCCGGAAGAGGAGAGUGGAAUUCCGGGUGUAGCGGUGGAAUGCGUAGAGAUCCGGAAGAACACCGGUGGCGAAGGCGGCCUGCUGGGCUAUGGCUGACACUGAGGCGCGACAGCGUGGGGAGCAAACAGG